rnacentral:lncRNA from 1 species
GUUUUUUUGGUGUUUUUUUUUUUUUUGCUAAAUGAGUACGGUUGGGUUAAUCUUAGUCAGAUUGGAGUCCAGAUUCAGGAACGAUUAAUAAGGAAGUCAUCAGGAAUCAGGUCAGGUUAACAGACCAAGGUCAGUAACCUGGAGGUACAGUGCUGGGAAAAAGGAUCUCAGGACAGGAACUGAGAUUCAAAACACAGUAAGCCUUAGUCUGAUUGACAGGCCAAAUAAAGGCCCCAGGUAAGCAGUUGGGGGAGGCCGUGCUCACCACUGGUGUGCAGGGGACCUGCCUGGCUGUCUUCCCCAUCGGAUCAUGGCCUGCAUGUUCACAACGCUCCCAGACUGACCGUGUGCUAAGACUAGGAGGGGACGGAGUUGGAUUAGACUUCGUAUGAUUUUAAUUCUUGUGACCUGUCCUAGUCUGGCAGCUCCGGAUCACACAUGUUAUGAAAGGAAGCAGUAAUUUGCCUUUAUAUAUUGUAAACCAUUCUGAGACCAAUUUAGCUUAUCUUAGUGCUGGUAGUCUGAAAGUAUUUUGGCUGAAUUGGGGAAAUGAGCCUGGAAUCGUGUGAAGUUGCCACUAAUAAUUCAGAGGAGGUAAUCAAGACAAUCAAGGAUUGAUGGCUCUGUGUUAAACUGCUUUUCGCUUUGCAUCUGGAUAUGCCAGUGCCGUCAAAGAGAGGUCAUCGAGGAUGCUCUGAAUAACCCAGGCCCGUGUCAUUACUCAGCACUUGUGUCACCUCUUGGUGUUCUGUUGAUUUGAACUUGCUUAGUUGACGUAAAGCAGAGUUUCUCAAACUUAAUGUGCAUCAGAAUGAUGUGGAAGGCUUGUUAAAAACACAGCUUACUGGGCCCCACCCAGUUUCUGAUGCAGUAGGUCUGGGGUUAGAAAUUUGGCUUUCUAACAGAUUCUCAGGUGCUGCUGCUGCUGCUGCUGCUGUGCAGGCCACCCUUUGAGAACCACUCCCUUAAGUGUCCUCAAGUUGUUAUAGAUCAGUAGAUUCUAGUUUCCCAUUUACUUUGUAUGAUUUUUGAGAGAUAAUCAUUUCUUUUAAUUCUUUUAUAUUCACCCUAUUACUUAGGAUUUUGCUUAGCAUAGAGAAUGAACUCUAGAAAUAUUGUUAAUCAGUGAUCUUUUUGACUAGCUCACCCUGCUAGGGUGUGACUGUUGUGGACAUCUUAAAGACCAAGUCAGAUUAGCAAUAACCGAUUAAUGAUAUGGUAAGCAGAUGCCACUGUGGCUGGAUUACCAGAAUUUUCUAUUGAGUGAUCCAGUCCUCCUGACUAGAUUUGCCUUCUAAUUGGUGCAUUCAUCAAUGUUAAUUGAUAGGAGUGAAAUCUUGCAUCCUGCUGUGGGCAAUGAGAGAAUACUUCCAUGACUUCGUGAUAUGGAGACUAAGAUACAUGACGAAACCAAGAAAGAGCCUCCGAAUGUUCUCUCCGAUCAGCAAACAGGAAUGAGUAAAGAAUUUCACUCAUCUUUAUCCUUGGAGCGCCCGUGGGCAAUCCUCCAGGCAGAUCCUAUGUACUUGUUAGGGUUUUUGUCACAUUUUAUAAUUUCCCCCAAACAUGGAGAAUAUGUUGUCUUUGAAAAUAGCUGUGGGGUUUCUGACAUAAUCAGGAUUAAGAGAAAUAGGAGAGUGCCCGAGAAGCUCUCCAGGAUGGAUACACAGGGAAUUGGAGGCCCACGGCUCUACCAGAGCUUUGCACAGCCCCGUCUCUGGGGUUAGAAGGGUGGCAUGAGGGCCAAGGGAACGGGGCCCAGAGCUGUGCACGUUUCUUCUUGUUUAACCCUUACAGCCUACCGGAAGAUACAAUUCCUAUUUUAGAGGUAAGGAAACUGACGCAGGGAGGGUGUGUGACUUGCCUCAGGUCCUCCCCGAUCUGGAGGAGCCAGCGUUUGAACCCGCAUCUGUCUGACUUCAAAGCCUGUGUUCUUUCUUGUCCUGCACAUUACACAAAGAAGGCACUGCAGAUUCAAGCUCCUACGAAAAGGAAUGGAUGUGAAAAGUCAUUUGUUGAUUCCAGAAAUUUUCAGUAGGCACAGAAGCCUCGCCGCGCCUUCUGCCCUUUUCAUUAUCCUGCUCCUCUGCUGUGGGCACCCACCUCUGUGGUCAUUUGAUGUGAGUUAAGUGAAUUCUUUCAUCCAUCGAUUCAUUCAUUGAACAAGUGUUUACCAACAGCCUCCUUUGUGCCAGGGGCACUGUUCUAGGAGCUGGGGAUACAGCCAAGAUGGAAUCUGACUAAGAUCCGUGCCCUCGUGGAACUUAGGUUUGAGGGAAUAAAUGAACGAGUGGUGAAUAGGGAACUCCGUGGGAGAGCUUCAUCUCAGUUCUAACGCUGACUGGCAGCUCUCCGUGAGCUCUCCACACAAAGCCGUCUCAGAGUGUUCUCGGAUGUAGACCCUGCCUUCUCUGCCAGCUCCUCUGUCGGGUUUCAGAGAGCUUUUCCCCUUAUCCUGUUGAAUAGCUGAUAUCUCCCCAUGUACCCAGCGUUUUUCUGUGAAUGUGCACUAAGCAGUCACUGACACAGCCUUUUCUUCCCUUGACCUAUGAGUUCUUCAGGGCAUUCACCUGACGGCUGAUGCCAUCUUCAGCAGGCUGCUUCUACGGAAUCUAUGCGUGCCUCCCUCUAUUGCCCCAUACUGGAAUUGACAGUUGACAUCUCUCUUCUCCUCCACAACAUGGAAACUUCCCUGAGGGCAAGGCCUAUAUUCUGCUCAUUUUUCUGUCCUUAAAAGCCAGCACAGUACCUGGCACAUAAUAUGGCUCCGUAAAUAUUUGUAAAAUGAAUGAAUCAUAUAGUUCUUCACAAUAUCUUCAAAAUUGCUGGUAUCUGGUGUACCAAGACUGCUAUCUAGAUUGCACCUGAAGUUUGUCUAUCUAACAUCCAGACUAUCAUCAAUCAUUUGCUUAAAUGGUUUCAUCUCACCAUUCUGGGAUAAAAAUUAUUAAUUUCAAAUACUGAUAUCUGAGCUGUCUUUGAAAAGAGGAAUUAGACAGUGUGUAUAUUGCUUAUAAAUUUGCUUCGUGGUGGAAAAUAUCCCAAACCGUGCCCAAGCAAUGAUGGACCAGCAUUUUGACAGGGAAUAAACUCAUGUUAGUUGUAUUUUGUUUCCAUUUGUCUGUCCCACAUUGUUUAUGUAUAUUUGAUGGUCCAUUACACUUGACUUGCAAGUAUUUUCUUGGGAGUCAUUUUUAUUCCAAAGAUCUACAUUGCCUACCUAACCUUCACUUAGGAGCAUUCUUACUGACGUCAUCUGCUUUGUUGCAAACUUUUGUGGUCAUCUCUAUAAAUAGCACGAGAAUAAUUCCAAGGUUUUUUAUCGGAUGCUUAAUUUUAAAAUUUUCUUAUAGACCACUAAUUGGGAUGGAGGGUAAGAAGGUAGGAAGAGUUUACUUGCAGGAGAUUCAGACUCAGUUAAUAUCGAUGUGUCUAGUAGUGUGCUAGAUGCAUUCACACAUCAUUUAAGCUUUAAAUGCCUAUUGAGCUGCAUUCUGUUACUCUAAAAUCAAGGAAAGUGAGGCUCAAAUAAGUUGACACUUGCCCAGGGUCACACCGAUGACGGAAUGGGGAUACAAACCAAAACUCUUUAUUCAAGCCCUGGAAAUAUCUGCUCUGAAAAGGGGUAACUUAAAAAUUAAAAGUAUCCCCUAUUUGAAAAUGAAAACAGCUAAUAAAUACAUGUAUGUGUUUGUUGUUUUAAUAUUAUUGUUAAUUUUGUCCUCCCAGAUUGGUCAAGAUUAAAGCAAUUGACAAGAAUGUGGGCAAAUGGGCAUUCUUGUUCACUAUUGGCAGGAGGGGAAAUUGGUACAACCUUUUUAGAAGGCAAUAUGUAUCAAAUUUGUCAAUAUGUAUCAAACACUUAAAUUAUGAUACACUUUUACUCAGCAAUUUGUUUAGGAAUUUAUCCUAAUGAAUAAAAAUUUCACAGGUAUGUAAACGUGAGCACAAAGAUGUACUUUAUGAUGUUUAUGAUAUUAAAAUAUUGGAAACAGCCUAAAUAUCCUUCAAUAGAAGAUGAGUUAAAUGAAUGAUGGCUCAUAUAUACAGUAGAGGUGUAUGCAACUGUCAUUAAAGACCAUUUAGAUCUGUGUUUAUUGCUAUGGAAAUUUGUCCUUGAAAUAUGGAAUGAAAAAGCAGACUACAGAAUGGCAUGUUUAAUAUGGGUCCAUUUAUAACCUUGGAUAUUUUUCAAUAAUAUAUGUUUCAUAGAGAGAUUUUUGCUAAAAGGUUAAUGAUGGUUUUUUCUGGGC